GAUGAACGCUGGCGGCGUGCCUAAUACAUGCAAGUCGAGCGAACAGACGAGGAGCUUGCUCCUCUGACGUUAGCGGCGGACGGGUGAGUAACACGUGGAUAACCUACCUAUAAGACUGGGAUAACUUCGGGAAACCGGAGCUAAUACCGGAUAAUAUAUUGAACCGCAUGGUUCAAUAGUGAAAGACGGUUUUGCUGUCACUUAUAGAUGGAUCCGCGCCGCAUUAGCUAGUUGGUAAGGUAACGGCUUACCAAGGCAACGAUGCGUAGCCGACCUGAGAGGGUGAUCGGCCACACUGGAACUGGGACACGGUCCAGACUACUACGGGAGGCAGCAGUAGGGAAUCUCCGGCAAUGGGCGAAAGCCUGACGGAGCAAGGCCGCGUGAUUGAUGAAGGUCGGCGGUGCGUAAAACUCUGUUAUUAGGGAAGAACAAAUGUGUAAGUAACUAUGCACGUAGUGACGGUACCGAAUCAGAAAGCCACGGCUAACUACGUG
rnacentral:rRNA from 1 species